rnacentral:rRNA from 1 species
UACGUAGGGGGCAAGCGUUGUCCGGAAUCAUUGGGCGUAAAGAGCGUGUAGGCGGCUUGGUAAGUCCGCUGUGAAAGUCCAGGGCUCAACCCUGGAAUGCCGGUGGAAACUGUCAAGCUUGAGUCCGGAAGAGGCGAGUGGAAUUCCUGGUGUAGCGGUGAAAUGCGCAGAUAUCAGGAGGAACACCAACGGCGAAAGCACUCUGCUGGGCCGACACUGACACUGAGAGACGAAAGCUAGGGGAGCAAAUGGG